CUCCUUCUCGGGAACCUUCUCGACCUUC
rnacentral:rRNA from 1 species